rnacentral:rRNA from 1 species
AUUGAACGCUGGCGGCAGGCCUAACACAUGCAAGUCGAACGGUAACAGGAAGAAGCUUGCUUCUUUGCUGACGAGUGGCGGCCGGGUGAGUAAUGUCUGGGAAACUGCCUGAUGGAGGGGGAUAACUACUGGAAACGGUAGCUAAUACCGCAUAAUGUCGCAAGACCAAAGAGGGGGACCUUCGGGCCUCUUGCCAUCGGAUGUGCCCAGAUGGGAUUAGCUAGUAGGUGGGGUAACGGCUCACCUAGGCGACGAUCCCUAGCUGGUCUGAGAGGAUGACCAGCCACACUGGAACUGAGACACGGUCCAGACUCCUACGGGAGGCAGCAGUGGGGAAUAUUGCACAAUGGGCGCAAGCCUGAUGCAGCUAUGCCGCGUGUAUGAAGAAGGCCUUCGGGUUGUAAAGUACUUUCAGCGGGGAGGAAGGGAGUAAAGUUAAUACCUUUGCUCAUUGACGUUACCCGCAGAAGAAGCACCGGUUAACUCCGUG